rnacentral:rRNA from 1 species
CCUACGGGAGGCAGCAGUGGGGGAUAUUGGACAAUGGGCGGAACCCUGAACCAGCGACGCCGCGUGAGUGAAGAAGUAUCUCGGUAUGUAAAGCUCUGUUAGCAGGGAAGAAAGAAAUGACGGUACCUGACCAAGAAGCCUCCGCUAACUACGGGCCAGCAGCCGCGGGAAUACGUAGGGGGCAAGCGUUAUCCGGAAUUACUGGGUGUAAAGGGAGCGUAGACGGUUAAGUAAGUCUGGAGUGAAAGGCCGGGGCCCAACCCCGGGAAUGCUGUGGAAACUAUUGAACUUGAGUGCGGGAGAGGUAAGCGGAAUUCGUGGUGUAGCGGUGAAAUGCGUAGAUAUUAGGAGGAACACCAGUGGCGAAGGCAGCUUACUGGACUGUAACUGACGUUGAGGCUCGAAAGCGUGGGGAGCGAACAGGAUUAGAUACCCGUGUAGUC